UGAGCAAUCUGCCCUUCUCAUCGGAAUAAGCGUUGGAAACGACGUCUAAUGCCGAAUACGACCUCCUUUCGCAUGAUCGGAGGUGGAAAGCUCCGGCGGAGAAGGAUGAGCUCGCGGCCUAUCAGCUAGUUGGUGUGGGUAAUGGCCCACCAAGGCGACGGACGGGUAGCCGGCCUGAGAGGGUGACCGGCCACACUGGAACUGAGAUACGGUCCAGACUCCGUACGGGAGCAG
rnacentral:rRNA from 1 species